GGCAUAUCAUGUUGAAACACCUGUUUCUGUACAAUCACCGAAGUUAAGCAACGUCGAGCUAGUUCAGUAUCGAGAUGGGUGACCACUUGGGAAUACCGGGUACUGUAC